GCCUCUAAGCAUCAGGUAACAUCAAAUCGUACCCCAAACCGACACAGGUGGUCAGGUAGAGAAUACCAAGGCGCUUGAGAGAACUCGGGUGAAGGAACUAGGCAAAAUGGUGCCGUAACUUCGGGAGAAGGCACGCUGGUGUGUAGGUGAAGUCCCUGCGGAUGGAGCUGAGACCAGUCGAAGAUACCAGCUGGCUGCAACUGUUUAUUAAAAACACAGCACUGUGCAAACACGAAAGUGGACGUAUACGGUGUGACGCCUGCCCGGUGCCGGAAGGUUAAUUGAUGGGGUUAUCCGUAAGGAGAAGCUCUUGAUCGAAGCCCCGGUAAACGGCGGCCGUAACUAUAACGGUCCUAAGGUAGCGAAAUUCCUUGUCGGGUAAGUUCCGACCUGCACGAAUGGCGUAAUGAUGGCCAGGCUGUCUCCACCCGAGACUCAGUGAAAUUGAACUCGCUGUGAAGAUGCAGUGUACCCGCGGCAAGACGGAAAGACCCCGUGAACCUUUACUAUAGCUUGACACUGAACAUUGAGCCUUGAUGUGUAGGAUAGGUGGGAGGCUUUGAAGCGUGGACGCCAGUCUGCGUGGAGCCAACCUUGAAAUACCACCCUUUAAUGUUUGAUGUUCUAACGUUGGCCCCUUACCGGGGUUGCGGACAGUGUCUGGUGGGUAGUUUGACUGGGGCGGUCUCCUCCCAAAGCGUAACGGAGGAGCACGAAGGUUAGCUAAUCCUGGUCGGACAUCAGGAGGUUAGUGCAAUGGCAUAAGCUAGCUUGACUGCGAGCGUGACGGCGCGAGCAGGUGCGAAAGCAGGUCAUAGUGAUCCGGUGGUUCUGAAUGGAAGGGCCAUCGCUCAACGGAUAAAAGGUACUCCGGGGAUAACAGGCUGAUACCGCCCAAGAGUUCAUAUCGACGGCGGUGUUUGGCACCUCGAUGUCGGCUCAUCACAUCCUGGGGCUGAAGUAGGUCCCAAGGGUAUGGCUGUUCGCCAUUUAAAGUGGUACGCGAGCUGGGUUUAGAACGUCGUGAGACAGUUCGGUCCCUAUCUGCCGUGGGCGCUGGAGAAUUGAGGGGGGCUGCUCCUAGUACGAGAGGACCGGAGUGGACGCAUCACUGGUGUUCGGGUUGUCAUGCCAAUGGCACUGCCCGGUAGCUAAAUGCGGAAGAGAUAAGUGCUGAAAGCAUCUAAGCACGAAACUUGCCCCGAGAUGAGUUCUCCCUGAGACUUUAAGUCUCCUGAAGGAACGUUGAAGACGACGACGUUGAUAGGCCGGGUGUGUAAGCGCAGCGAUGCGUUGAGCUAACCGGUACUAAUGAACCGUGAGGCUUAACCUU
rnacentral:rRNA from 1 species